GUUAUUCUUCUUCCCCAAAUCGAAAUAUGUCCAACUACAGGAGUAGAAGGAUGAGAGAAGAAAAAAUAGAAUUGGAUACUGCUACAUGCUACCCUUUCCCAAUCAAAUUAAAGAAUCAAUGGCGGCUUUUGUGUGGAGUAAAUUCUCCAAUGAGAUCCUUUUACGGCUUAUUGAGUGGAGCUAGCAAGUUUAACCUGCCAUGAUUUUCUUUUAGAAUCAAUCUCAAAGGUGAAGUAUGACAUGAGCUUCACAAAAUCAUGCUUUUAUACAUUCCUUUU